GCCCACGUUGGAGCCACGAAGGUCGGCCAUCGCUGCGGAGGUCUCCCUGUCGCCGCCGCCCGCAUUGGAGCCGCCGAGGUCGCCUCGUCGACGCGGCCCGCACUAGACCCGAUGAGGUCGACGCUGGAUCCGCUGCCGCCAGGGAGAGGGGAGAGAGAUGGGGACGGCGGAGGAGGAGUGGGACGCGGGAGCAACCAUCGCCUGAGAGAGGAGUUUGCCGAAGAUGGUAGGUAGGUGGUGCUGUGGUGGGGACUGAGCAGGUGGGGGCU
rnacentral:lncRNA from 1 species